rnacentral:lncRNA from 1 species
GGGCUUGUUUUAAGUUGGUCUAAAUCAAGGUGAAAAAUAAAAUUUUGUUUGAUUUAAAAAAAAAAUGAAUAUACUGGUUUCUUUGAUAUGCGGAAAAUAACAGUGUAUACAGAUUAUAGAAUUGUGGGCCCCAUUAUCAAAUUGGUCCACAUAUAAGGUUUCAUAAUAAAACUUUGUUUGAUUUCAUCAAAAAUUGAACUCCUUGGUUUUUUUUAAUAUGUUGAAUCUAACAAUAGAUUCUAGAUAUAGAACCAUAAUAGUUUUACAUCCAAAUUAUAAUAUUUAAAUUCUUAGACAACAUUCAUUCUGUGUCAAAUAUUUAAUCAUAAUCCUAUCAAGCUUGAAUGAUCUGUUAAUACAUUUGAUUAAUAGGAACUAUGUACAAAAAACUACAGUCCAUCAGAUUGUCCUUUUCUGAAUUGUAUGCCGACAGGUGAGACAUAUCUCUGUUGGCUUUUUUUGUACACACUAAUUAUUUUUUCAAUUUAUUUCAAUUUUUUUGCCCCACCUACGAUAGUAGAGGGGCAUUAUGUUUUCUGGUCUGUGCGUCCAUCUGUUUGUUCGUCUGUUCGUUCGUCUGUUGGUCCGUCCGUCUGGUUUAAGCUUUUGGUCAAGGUAGUUUUUGAUGAAGCUGAAGUCCAAUCAACUUGAAACUUAGUACACAUGUUGCUUAUGAUAUGAUCUUUCUAAUUUUAAAGCCAAAAUAGACUUUUCAACCCAAUUUCACGGUCCACUUGAACAUAGAAAAUGAAAGUGUGAGUUUCAGGUUAAAGGUUUUGGUCAAGGUAGUUUUUGAUGAAGUUGAAGUCAAUCAACUUGAAACUUAGUACACAUGUUCCCUAGGGUAUGAUCUUUCUAAUUUUAAUGCCAAAUUAGAUUUUUUUACCAAAUUUCACGGUCCAUUGAACAUUGAAAAUGAUAGUGCAAGUGGGGCAUCCGUGUACUUUGGACACAUUCUUGUUUACAAUAUUUCAUGAUGAAUGGAAAUUAUUAUUUAUUAGAUGCAUUGAUGGCUGAAGGUUUACUGUAAAACUAUGACAGUUUUUCAUUAUUGGUGAAGUUAAGAAUGUUUUAAUGUUUUCUAGUCACUUUAUACCAUUAUAUUUGCAAUCCAUGAAUAAACCAGAUUUUAGGACUAUGUAUCAAAUAUGUGUUUAAUAAGUGCAUAUUAUAUUUCUAUUAAAAGAAGUAAAUUCUUAAAGUUUUUUUUUAUCUCAAACUUAAUUUUACUUUUAGUACACAGUGUUUAUUUAGGUGUUUUGGUGUAAAGCAUAAGAAUACAGGUAAUCUAUGUUCUAUCAUUGUUGACACAGAGAAACAUGAUUUUAAGGCUUUCAUAUUCAAACAAUUGUAAAAAAAAUAUUACAAUACAUUCUAAUAUGACGGCCUAUUAUUGUCAACCAGUAUAAUUGCAAUAUAUCUACAUUUAGCACAAAAGCAGUAAUACGCAAAAACGGCUGUUCCACCGUACGACCUAUUUGUACUGCCAAAUAUUCUCAAUUUUUCAACAUCAAAACCCUCAGUUUAACGUAGGCAAAGAUUCAGAUACCAUAUAUUUAUCUCUAUUCUACAGCCAAAAUAAACAAAUCAUUCCAUUUCAAUUUAUUUUUCAUGGUAAAAUUUCAUAAAACGAAAAUUCUGCGAAAUGAUGUUAUUGUCUUGGCAUGGCAACGAAACAAGGUGACGUCACAAGUAUGUUUCCGUAAACAAAAAAUCAAAUGUAAAUAUCGAGAGUUUUAAAGCUUCUUGUUUGCCUCAGAACGAAUAAAAUUACAUUGGAAGAAAAUAUAGAAGUGAAAAAUGUGAUUAAAAAAAAAUCAUUUAAUUAUAUGAUACUACUAAUAUUAUCAAAAUUGGGUAAAAUGGAACAGCCAAAACAGUAUCGUAUGUAUAGGGCUUUCACGGUUAACAAAAUUACCAAAUUUUACCUAUUAGAAUCGAAAUAAUUCAUGGCAGCCAUAGAUUUGUUUUCAUUUAACCAUGGGUUGGGCAUUUAUAUUCUUAUUUUACCCCUUGCUAAAGAUCAGGGUAAAAUAAUCUAAUAUAAAUGCCCAACCCAUGGUUAAAGGAAAACAAAUCUACAGCUGCCAUGAAUUAUUUCUUAAUUAUAAAUGUUAUAUAAAACUGAGAAUGGAAAUGGGGGACAUAUGUCAAACAGACAACAAUCCAAUUAAAGAGCAGAAAACAGCUCAAGGAGCUCAAUGGGUCAACAUAGCAAGAAAAUCCUGCUGUGUUGGAGGCACUACUAAAUUAAAUUAAGAAAUGAUUUGCCAUGCUCUUUGCUCAUUUUAACAUGGGUAGGCAUUAUAUUUGUCAAUAUCUUAAUAUCGAGCAUUAGGGGAGUAUUUAAUGUUGACAAAUAUAAUGCCUACCCGUUUUAAAAUGAGCAUAGAUCAUGGCAUGAUAGAAUUAUUUUGAUUCUACUAGGAAUAUUCUGAACUUUUGUAUUUCGAGGAGGACAUAUAAUACACGCUUGAAAUUUUACCAUUUGAAGAACCAAAAACAAUAUAGAAAAUGGUAAUUUUUGAAAUCUCAAGAAGAGAUUUUAUAUGAAUUUAUAGGGUUAAAUAUACUUACCAUGAAAUUACAUUUAUAUUAUAUAGAAUAUGUUUGCUUUCACAACAUGUUCUCAUCGCAAUUAACUAGGUGAUUAAAAAUUACAUCCAUGAGAUGUACUCACCUACGUCAUAGUUCACCUGUGUAACAUACACUAGCUUUAGUUUUAAUUUGUCGUUUAAUUGAAUAAUUUCAAUUAAGUGAACAAAAAACUGAAUUUAUUCCAGGGGUGGUGGUGGAUUGUGGUAAGUAUAUUUAACCCUAUAAAUUCAUAUAAAAUCUCUUCUUGAGAUUUCAAAAAUUACCAUUUUAUAUGAAUUUGGUUAAAUAUACUUACCAUGAAAUUACAUUUAUAUUAUAUAGAAUAUUUACUGAUUAACAAGCAGUAUUUCAUUUGGUGGAGGAUAAAUUCUCUCACACACAUACAAUUUCAACAUAUAAAAAAUUAUGUGAAAUUUUUUAAAAAGUAACUCCAUUAAAUUUUGUAAAUACGGAUAUUAGUAAAAACCGAAAUUACUGAAUUUAUUAUACAAUGAAGCUAUGCUGCAUAACUAUAUGUAUCAAUGGCAAACUUUGCAGAUUGUAUAAAUACAAGUAUGCAAAAUUAAUAGACUUGAUGUAGAGUUGUCUCAAUGGCACUCACAUGUAUAUAUAUACCCCAUCUUUCUAUAUCUGAUGAAUAAAUAAUCUGCAGGUCAGUAUAGAAAUAAUUAUAUUAAAGCUCCUUCAUUAUGAGCUAAAUGUGUUGUAAUAUUUAUGCAACAGUAAAUAAGCAUUUAUUUCUGAAUAGGUUGUUCUUGUUGCUUGUACAAAUCGACAAGAACUAAUCCAACCUUAAUUUCAUUACUUUCCACUUUGAAACUUAAGUUUAUUUGGAAACAUUAUUACCUUUCUUUAACUUUCCAUUGUUUUCUCUAUAUUAAUAUAAUAACAGAUAAUAUAUGAUUGCUGUCGUCUUUUGAUAACCUGAUCAAUAUCACAUCUUUCGAAAUAAAUUCUUUUCUACUUAAUUAAAGAAAUUAAUUAAAGAAUUAUAAUCAAUUAAAAUAUACUUUGUAAAUAGGUGUCCUUAAUACAAUCAAAGUUUAUUAAAGACUCAAACCAAAGUUGUUUCAUGAUUAUGCUAAAUCUGGAUUAAUCUUUAAACUUUUUUAAAGUUAUAGUCCCUGAGAAUUUGCUUCUCUGCUAGAUAUACUACUUUUAAUAUUUUAUAGAUUUAGAAUAAAAUAUUUUCAUCAAGAGAAGUCUUGUACUAUUGUAUAAUGACAAUUCUCUAAACUGACUAAAUUUUAAAAAAUCUGAUAAAAUUUCUAUGAGUGGUAGAACCUUUGAAUACAAUGUCUACCAUUUCAACCAUGACCAAUAUUUUUGUUUUGUAUUGGACUACUCAAGUGUAAAAAUACAGAAAUGGACAAAUCAGUGGAAAAGUUUCAGUAUACAUGUUUCCAUUGAUAUACUGCUUCCACAGAACAUUUGGAUGUUGAGCUGAAUUAAAGCCAUGAUUGUUGUCCUUAUAAGUCCAAAAAGAAUGCUAACAGAUGAUUUUCUCCAGCUAUGAAAAAUCUGUCUAAAAUAAAAUGUUUUGAUAUUUCUAAUUAACAUUUGACAACGGUUAACUUUCUAGAAUAUCUUGCCAUGUACAGUUCCAAAUUUAAAGAAAACAAAAAUUUGACAUAAUGAACAACUCUUGUAUGUUGCUCUUGACAAUUGUUUAUAUUAAUUUCAGAAAUUAUUUCGCUAUCAGAAAUACUAAAAUGCAACUUGUCAAAUAUAGUUCUAUAGUUGUAUUUAAAGAAAAACACUUGUUUGGCAAUAUGGAAAACACUUGUACUAACUUGCAGUAUCCUUAAGUGUUCUUAGUUAUUUCAGAAAUGGUUUCACUAUCAAAAAUGCUCAUUUUAUUUCUGUCUUGGUUCACCUCAUCUGAAUCCUAUACAUUCUGAUAUGAUUCAAUAUAUAUCAACCAAACAGCUUUUGGUAGUAUUUUGUGACUUCAACCCAGUCAUUUGGUUAACUUAGUCACUCAGAAGAAUUUUGCAUUUGUCCCCAGAUUUGGCAAAAACAAAAUUAAUGUGAUUUAAAUAAUCACAUCUUUCAAAACAAUAUUGAAUCAAAAUUCAAAGUAAUUGUUUAAAAUAAACACAUUUCAAUUUUGUGUAGCAUAUUCUUGCAUAAGAUACUAACUGUAUGCUAUAUAUUUAUAUUAUUCUGGCUGGUAAUAUGGAAAUUGAAAAGUGAAUAAUUACCAUCAAUUCCGAGGUUAAAAUCACAUGCAUUCGGAAAACCUUCCUGCAUAUAGAUAAUAUACAACUUGACUUUGACCAGACUAGAUUUUUGUAACUUUAUGCUUAUAAUGAGCAAAAAUAAAAAUAAACAGUGACAUUUUAAUAUUUAGGUAUAAUAUUAAGAAAAUGUCUCGCAUUUGAUUUGAUAUAAUCAUGGAAUUAUCAUACUAUAUUUUACUUCCAUGUACUAUUCUUAGACUAUUGAAAGCUAUUUGCUAACUAUUAAUCAGUCUUUUAAAUAAAUUGCUUUUCCUACAUUUUGCUGUUAGAUUAACUGCUUCUACACUGGUGCUAAAAUUUGAGAACCAAUUGAAAUGUAUAUAUAUUAUAUGUUUAUAUUGGUACAUCAUGUGUUACUCCAAAAAAAAACCUCUUCUUUUUUUUCUGCAUCUCGUAAAGACUGACUAAAUAAAAGGUUUAUAUAAAGAGCUGUAUAAUAGAUAGUUUCAAAUCUUGAGAACUACUUCAAUUUCCUAGACCAUGUCUAGCAUUUUAAAUAAAUCCUGCAUCCACAAUGCUUUAAAUCUUAUUUAUUUAUUUACCAAUAUUUUACUAAUUUUUUUACAAGAUCUAAAUUAAUGAUAAUCUUGUUUCUAUAAAUCAGCAUAUUUGAGUCCUCUAUAUACUUCAGAAUUCUGAAUCAAUAUUUAACUCUAGGAAAAACAAUGUGUAGCCAUUGCAUAAACUGUUGGGUUCUACCAAUCUCACAUUAAGAAUAAAACAGACCCAAUGAAUGAAUCCUUAUAGCAGAAACUUGCCCAUCUGUUGGCAUUGCUUAGAAAACUUAAGAUGUAAAUUAAGGCAUAAUUUUCUAUCUUUAAAAAGAGCAUCCAAACUCCUUUUGCUUUCAUGAUUGGAAGAUAUAUGUAUAAUUUGACAGUGAUUCCCAUAUAGUGAGGGUAAGAUAGUCUCUUAAGUCUUACGUUAUCACCUCUUUUUUUUUGUGUACUCAAAACAAAACAGAAUUAGUACAUAUUAUAUUUAAUAAAUGCAUUGGCAAUGUACACUCUGAAUUAUGUAAUCAAUAUAUAAGCCAUUACCUUGAAUGAGUCUUUGUGAAAUGCAUCAUGGCAUCCCCUAAAUUCUUUAUUCAAUAGACAAUCUAAUGUUUACAUAAAAACAUAUAAAAGCCUUUGUUUCCUUACUGCCGACAAAAACAAACAAUUGGUUAUAGCAGUUCAUACUUAUAAUAUUCAUGUUCUUCUUGUCAUAAGUAAACUGACCAUGAAAUUUAAUAUAAGUAAAAAGAGUUGUCACAAGCUAUCAACUGUAUUUAGAACAGUGCUCCAUUCUUACUGUCUCCAUGUCUGUUAGAGCAUUGGAGAAUUAUUUAUCAGUAAAAAAAAUAAUUAAAUAUUUACAGCAAUUUGCUGUUCUGGAAAAAUAUUUCAGGCUUCUAAGAAUUACUGUCCUGAUUUAAACUGGACAUAUUUAAAAGAAGUAUGUAUUGGUAUGCUUAAACUACAAUCACAUUUGUAUUGUACUAGAUAACAAUGUAUAUCAUUUUCAGUGUCUUUAAUAUCUGUCUUGACUAUUUCCAGACACUUGUUCAAUAUAUUUAUCAAUAUGAGCAAAUAUGUUAAUUGACUAAACUGUUGGUUCAUCACAAAAAAACAAUGUGCAACCAAAUAUUAGCUAUGCUUGUGUUGUUUUUAAAAUAUAAUAAAAGUAGACAUAAUGUUCCCUGGGUGGAAGGAUGUCUAGAAAAGUCAGAUAGACCUGGACUUAAAUUCACUAGUCUGAUUCUAAUUUAUUUUAUUUGCAACAAUCAUCCACGUGCAAUUCUAUGCUCCAUAAAUAUCAAUGUGCAAUAAAUAAAUAGUUAUGAUUUAAUUUUAUGUAAGAUAUCAAAUCUGUAUUUUAUUAGAAUGAAUGCAACUUACAGAUUCUAAAUCAUGCAUGUUGUUCUAGUUCCUAUGUUUCCUGUAUGAAACAUGUCAACAUUAAUCAAAUAGACUUGGGCAAAAUCCCUAUUCUAUUUUAAGUCUAUAGUGAUCCAUUGAGCACGUUUUAUUUUCAAUAAAUAUGGUUUAUGUUCCCUGAAUGGAAGGUUAACCAAAAAACAUCAUCAGUUGUGGGCAAAAUCCCUAUUCUGAUUGUGAUGUAUUUAUCAACUGUUAAAACAGUAUCACUGUUGGUCUACGCUCCCUGUAUGGAACGUUUUCCAAAUAAAACAAUCAGAAAUGGGCAGAUUCCCUUUUCUGAUUGAAAUUUAUUGAACCAAUUGAGGUUCUAGUCACAAUAGUGGUAUACGCUCCCAUACGGACGUUAUCCACAUUAAAAUAAUCAGAUCUGGUCAAAAUACCUAUUCUGAUUUAAUAGUUAUGUGUUUACACAGUCUCGUGUACCAGGUGUACACGUAACAGACUGCAAAUUGUAAACAAUCGAACCAAUUGAGGUUCUAGUGACAAUAGUGGUAUACGCUCCCAUACGGACGUUUUCCACAUGAAAAACAAUCAGAUCUGGUCAAAAUACCUAUUCUGAUUUUAAUAUAGUGAUGUGUUUACACAGUCUCGUGUACAGACUGCAAAUUGUAAACAAUCGACUGUAUCCAAACUUUACACUCGACCCGUUUCGUAGCAUUGCUCUAAUGCAGUGAAAAAUCCGGUCAGCUGAGCGUGAAAAAAGAAAUAAACAUCCGUUUAAAAAUAUAUCUUUUUAAAAACGUAGCACUCACGUAACAUGUCCGAUUUUGACAGCUAAAUUCUGCCUUUCCUCGGACCCGAUUUAAUGUUUGAAAAUGGCGGUCAAACAAAGGUCAUUUUCUAUGUCGUCGUAUUUCCAGACUCGUAAGCUGUAAAAAUGACGAAAACGUGCAUAUCAGAAACUUGGCAGAAGCGCUGUAUUCUGAUUCACAUUAAAUUAAUCGUAUACCGAUAUUCCGAAAACAAAUAAUGUCUUUUAUAAAACAUAAGGAUUUUCAACAGUAAACUGUUAAAAAUCCUUGCCGACGAGAAACAUGCGUUCUCUUGAACGCAAAAAUUAAAACUAAAGCUAGUGUAUGUUACACAGGUGAACUAUGACGUAGGUGAGUACAUCUCAUGGAUGUAAUUUUUAAUCACCUAGUUAAUUGCGAUGAGAACAUGUUGUGAAAGCAAACAUAUUCUAUAUAAUAUAAAUGUAAUUUCAUGGUAAGUAUAUUUAACCAAAUUCAUAUAAAAUCCGGUUAAUGAAUUACAAAGUGGUGAUACAUUAAUUUUUAUAUACCUGUAACAGACUAUUAUUUGAACUUGGAAUUAUUUCUAAUCAUGGAUUUUGCAUAAUUUCUUGUGCUUGAAAUUUUUGAUAAAUUCCAUGUUUAUUUGGUAUUAUAAUGUUUUGAGCAGUUCAUAACACUUUCCAUAAAAUGUAUUUUGUAGAUAGUUAUGUGCACAGCACAGUACGUUCUAUUGAAAAUGUACUAUCCUUUUUGUAAUAGCAAGUGUUGUGCACAGCACAGUGCGUUCUAUUGAAAAUGUACUAUACUUUUUGUAAAAGCGCAGCACAGUACGUUCUAUUGAAAAUGUACUAUCCUUUUUGUAAUAGCAAGUGUUGUGCACAGCACAGUACGUUCUAUUGAAAAUGUACUAUACUUUUUGUAAUAGCGCAGCACAGUACGUUCUAUUGAAAAUGUACUAUCCUUUUUGUAAUAGCAAGUGUUGUGCACAGCACAGUGCGUUCUAUUGAAAAUGUACUAUACUUUUUGUAAUAGCGCAGCACAGUACGUUCUAUUGAAAAUGUACUAUACUUUUUGUAAUAGCGCAGCACAGUACGUUCUAUUGAAAAUGUACUAUACUUUUUGUAAUAGCGCAGCACAGUACGUUCUAUUGAAAAUGUACUAUCCUUUUUGUAAUAGCAAGUGUUGUGCACAGCACAGUAAGUUCAAUUAAAAUGUACUAUCCUUUUUGUAAUAGCACAGCACAGUACGUUCUAUUGAAAAUGUACUAUCCUUUUUGUAAUAGCAAGUGUUGUGCACAAAACAGAACAUUAAAGUACAGAAUAAACAUGGAAUUCAUUAAAAAAUUCAAGCACAAGAAAUUAUGCAAAUAAUUAAAAAUAAUUUCAAGUUGCAAUAAUAGCCUGUUCUGUCCUAAACCUGGUCUAUUGGUGUGGUUAAUAGUUGUUUCACAGUUUUUAUAUAGAUUAGAACUUUGGUUUUCCGGGUUUGCAUUGUUUUACACUAGUCAUUUUAGGGCCCUUUAUAGCUUGCUGUGUACGUGGUGCAAUCCAAAACUCUGUGUUGAAGGCCUUGACUAAUAAUUAUUGACUUUUCAUACAUUGUGACUUGGAUGGGGAGUUGUCUCAUUGGAAUGCAUACCACAUCUUAUUUAUCAAUGUCUAUAUGGUAGUUUGUUUUAUUUUGGCUUUGCUGCAUGAAAUAUAAAAAUUUGUAAGGGUUCUGUGGAACCCAGUGUCUCGUCUACAUUUGCUGUUAAUAGCUGACUCAACAAAAAUGAGGGGGGGAAAAUCAAUAAAAAUAUUCCUCUCUAUACUAUCUUUUGACUGUAAGAUGACUGUCCAAGUUUGGUAAAAGACCAGGAUAGUUUAUGAAUCUAAUGAAUGUUUAAAAACUAUAACUGCAGACUGUAUGUAAUAAUAACUCGAAGAUAAAGUAAGUAAAAUACCAAUAAACGGGUUUAUUGCUAUUUUGUGCAUUUUUCCUUUGAUCUUUUUUUGUGAUAAUUUUCAUAUCAUGCUUCUCGAUUGAGAUGGAAAAAUUAUCGCUAGAAACUAAGGACACGUGGCGUUGCUAAUGAAAUUGACAUGAAAUUGACAACGUCGUCAUAGGUAAAAUAGCGAUAAACAGAUUAUCAUUGGUCAUCUCAACUUGAUUGCUUUUCUCACUUUCGCUGUACCAGCUGAAGCGAGAAAAUCAAUCUCGUUGAGAUGAUCAACGAUAAUCUAUAAACAUAUACUAUAUACUAGCUUUUGACCAUAAACAAGGAUCAGUCCAAGUUUGGUACAAAUCCAGGAUAGAAUAAAAAAGUUAUUAAAUUUUUUUUUUAAACUUUAGCCAAAGAGUGAAUGUAUUGUAUCAUGGAAAAAAAACUUAACUUAGUUGGUCUAUGGUGGAUAGUUGUCUCAUUGGCAAUUAUACCACAUCUUCUUUUUUAUAUUAAGUCCAUUUAUAAGUAAAAUACAGAAAAAAAUAGAUUUGUUUUUUCCAUAAUUAUUACUGGAUACUAUCUUAUAAUCAUAAACAAGCUUCUGUCCAAGUUUCAAAUUGGUACAAAUCCAGGAUAGUUUAAGAAAGUUAUUAAAAUUUCAAAAACUUUAACCACAGAGUGAAUAUUAGUGGACACCCCGCCCCCACCAACGCCGAAAGAAUGUAGAAUUGCUAUGUCUCGCUUUUUUUUUUACUUAAGUCAUAGGGUACACAAAAAGUACACAUAAGUGUGUGAUAAUUGUGCCUUGAAAAUAUUUUAGCUUCAACACUAUACAUGUAUUACUGUUAAUUCAGAAAUUAUUGCUAUGUUUUUAUUAUUGCAAAAACUACAACAGGGUUAUAAUCCCAAUAAUUAAAACUCGCAUUUUGAAUUUUUUUUAUUGCAAUUAUGAGAGCUCACUAUCUAAUAAAUGAAACACGAACCUGUAUGCAGAUUCUUUUGGAAUCCCUAUUAUUUAACCCACAUUUUUGUCUAUCCUUGAAAAAUCCCAAUAAUAAAUGAACACUUUAAUUUCUGAAUUUACAGUAUAUAAAAUCUAAACAGAAAAAUUGUUAAUUUUGGGCCAAAAUAAAAAGAUUGUAUGUUUGCCCAAACGCGACCGACCCAAAAUAAACCCGCCGACUCAAAUUCUUUUUUUGACGUUUUUUAGAAGAAUUUUUUUUUUUUGCGGAUUUUUUUCAUGUCUGCUCCGUCAUCGUAUAAAACUUAAAGUUUGUCGUCUUUGCGUUUGAAAGUAACUAUGAAUAAGAUUAAAAGAAAGCGCAUAAGAGAUGCAGUUAAUCGAUAUUUGAUGUUCUCUGUUUUUAUGUUCUGACUUAACGAACGUAAAGAAGUGAAACAUGUGAAGUGGCACAGUUUUUUUUACGCUCUAGUUGUCUGUCAUGUCUGUACUACCAAACCCUUACCUAUAUGCUCAAUGUUAAUUUUAUCGUGUAAACGAAUAUCUGAUAAGAAUAUAAGAAUAUUCAGGUAGAUUUGUUCAAAACCAUGUGCAAUCGAAUAUUUUCAAUGUUAUUCUGACAGGAAAUGGAUCCGGAAGUUGCGAAUAUACAAUCUUGCAAGAAGAUUUUGUUUUUACUGAAUAAAAAGGAAUUAUUUCUUGAUAAAUUGUUGUCUUUAACUAUAAUCUUCCUUUAUCAUGUGAAUUAGAUGCCUUUUUUUCAAAUAGUUCAAAUUUACAAGUCUUAGUUGACAAGAUCAGUACGUUGCUGUUUGGGAGAAUUUGAUAAAACUAUAAUUGCUCACAGAAUCAGAAUAUAAUCUUAACUGAAUGUAACUCCUUCUGAAUAAUUUAUUGCAAUAUAAAUAUAAAUCCCCUUUGACAAGAGAAAUCUGGCUUUUGUCAGAAAUAUUUUUUUCACAUGUGCAAAAGUAAACACAUGUUAUGGUGGGAUUUUUAUACAAAUUUGUGAGGAAGUCUCUGGAACCUGAUGACCUAAAAAUAAAAUAGUCUUCAGAAAACGUUAUUAUGCAAUUAUACUUUAUCAAUAAUGAUUAUUUUCAAAAAUUUGAACUUGAUUAUUUAAAGAAAUAAAAUUAUAACAAAUAUGUUUUUAGUUUGGAGAUUCUACAGAACAUGCUUUGAUCUAUUUAUAGCCAAAUUAGUUUACCUGUGUGAUAAUGUUAAGAAUUGAAUGCUUCUUUUUGUAAAUUUAUUUGGGUGUAUAAGUGUUGACCGAAGUACAUUUUGUAUGAAGCGCAGAAGCGCUUCAUUCUAAAAAUGUACCACGGUCAAUGCUUUUACAACCCUAUAAAGUUACAAAAAGAAGCAUUCGAUACUUAUAAUUACAUUUUUUAGCUAUGAUCAUGAAAACACGAAUUUUAUAUAUUUUAUUAUUUAAUUCACCUGUGCACUUUAUUGUUGGAGCACAUGUUAUCAUGAGUGAAAAGUUGUAUUGAGCAAUGCAACUGCUUAUAGAAUAACACGUAAUGUGCAGUUAAACAAUCAGAAUAAAAUAUUAUAAUGAAACAUAGAUCUUAUUAAAAUAUAAAUUUUCAAAAAAAAAAAAAAGACAAACUAUGGAUGGUAGAUAAUAAUUCAUUUAAAAUAUUUUAGGACAUUUAAUCUAUUUUAAUAGAUAUAGGGUUUAAAAACUGCAAACAAAUUAAAUCAAUACAUAGUCAGCUGAUAUUUUUUUUUACACAAACAUCGUGUUGAUGUAACUGUUGAAAAUCACUUCAUAAAUCCACCAGCCCUUUCACACAUGUAGCAAUUGUCAGGGUUAUAAACAUCUCAGGAUACAAAUCAUAAAGUAGACUAAUUUAUGUAUAGAGGUUUUAAAUUCAUGGCUUUAGGUUGACUCUACAAAGGUUUUGACAAAAAAAACAGAUGUACUGUUUUAAGAUCUUUAAAAAUUUUCAUGCAAAUUCUGAAAGAUAAAAACUAGAGGCUCUAAAGAGCCUGUGUCGCUCACCUUGGUCUAUGUGAAUAUUAAACAAAGGAAGCAGAUGGAUUCAUGACAAAAUUGUGUUUUGGUGAUGGUGAUGUGUUUGUACAUCUUACUUUACUGAACAUUCUUGCUACUUACAAUUAUCUCUAUCUAUAAUGAACUUGGCCCAGUAGUUUCAGUGGAAAAUGUUAGUUAAAAUUUACAAAUUUUAUGAAAAUUGUUAAAAAUUGACUAUAAAGGACAAUAACUCCUUAAGGGUCAAUUGACCAUUUCCGUCAUGUUGACUUAUUUGUAAAUCUUACUUUGCUUAACAUUAUUGAUGUUUACAGUUUAUCUCUAUCUAUAAUAAUAUUCAAGAUAAUAACCAAAAACAGCAAAAUUUCCUUAAAAUUACCAAUUCAGGGGCAGCAACCCAACAACAGGUUGUCAGAUUCAUCUGAAAAUUUCAGGGCAGAUAGAUGUUGACCUGAUAAACAAUUUUAUCCCAUGUCAGAUUUGCUCUAAAGGCUGCGGUUUCAGAGUUUUAAGCCAAAAUCUACAUUUCACCCCUAUGUUCUAUUUUUAGCAAUGGCGGCCAUCUUGGUUGGUUAGCCAGGUCACGGGACACAAUUUUUAAACUAGAUACCCCAAUGAUGAUUGAGGCUAAGUUUGGUUUAAUUUGGCCAAGUAGUUUCAGAGGAGAAGAUUUUUGUAAAAGAUAACUAAGAUUUACGAAAAAUGGUUAAAAAUUGACUAUAAAGGGCAAUAACUCCUAAAGAAAUCAACAGACCAUUUGGUCUUGUUGACUUGUUUGUAGAUCUUACUUUGCUGAACAUUUUUUGCUGUUUACAGUUUAUCUCUAUCUAUAAUAAUAUUCAAGAUAAUAACCAAA